rnacentral:lncRNA from 1 species
CAACUGCAGAAUGCAAAAUUAUACAUCUGGGCUCACGUACUCUGUUUUGUUGUCUAAUUUGUUUUUUUCAUCUCCUCUAUGCAUUUACAACUUAAAAAUACUAUUUAAAAUGUAGAAUGAAUCAAAGAAACCCAGUCUAAAAGUACAUCUUCUAAAAUGUUGUCAAAUGGCUUUCAGAUCCUUGCACAAGUGACUUUUUCCUUUGGUUUUAGCACUGGCAUGUGCAUUGGAAUACUCUUCAAUAAAAUUCAUCCUUGUGAAAGUAUACCAUAUGGUGUCAUCAGUAAAUUACUGUAAAAAGGAUAAUUGGAUUUUGAAACCAUAAUUCUCUGGACUAAAGACACUGGGUGCCAUGGAAAGGAAAGGAGACACCUGGAAAUGAGAAGACACUGACAUCUGAAGAUGCUUUCCGAUCUUCCAUGAAUAUGUGAAAUACAAAAUGUCAGUAGUCUCCAAAAUGUGAACGUAAUCUUAGUAGAAGUGGAUCAUCUACAGAAGGUAAUUUUGCCACAGUGGUCAAAUAUUUUUGUUAAAUACUCCUGUUUUACAGACAUGCAUAGCAUUAACUGACACACAGUGUAUAGCUAGAAACAUGUUCUUAAGGAAAAUGUUCAGAAACAGAUUUCUUACUUUUUUGCUAAAUUGCAAACUAACAGGUUAAUAACUGCUGUGAAGUGCUAGAUAGUUGGAGUAGUAUUUACCAAGAAUGAGAAAGAAGAUAGGGGCAUAUGAUUGAGAAGGUGGGAGUGAGGAAAAGAAAAGGUAUUUAUUCCUGACUCCUCACUUGAUGUUGUUUAUUUUCAUUUUGUUGUUGUUAUUGUUUUACUUUAUCUUAUGUGUCAGACCAGAGUUUCACAAACAUCCCCAAAUAAUUACGUGGGUCAUAAAAAUAUAUCCAG